GACGAACGCUGGCGGCGUGCUUAACACAUGCAAGUCGAACGGAAAGGCCCUGCUUUUGUGGGGUGCUCGAGUGGCGAACGGGUGAGUAACACGUGAGUAACCUGCCCUUGACUUUGGGAUAACUUCAGGAAACUGGGGCUAAUACCGGAUAGGAGCUCCUGCUGCAUGGUGGGGGUUGGAAAGUUUCGGCGGUUGGGGAUGGACUCGCGGCUUAUCAGCUUGUUGGUGGGGUAGUGGCUUACCAAGGCUUUGACGGGUAGCCGGCCGGAGAGGGUGACCGGCCACAUUGGGCCUGGGCUACGGCCCAGCCUCCUACGGGAGGCAGCAGUGGGGAGUAUUGCACAAUGGGCGGAAGCCUGAUGCAGCAACGCCGCGUGCGGGAUGACGGCCUUCGGGUUGUAAACCGCUUUCGCCUGUGACGAAGCGUGAGUGACGGUACUGGGUAAAGAAGCACCGGCUAACUACGUG
rnacentral:rRNA from 1 species